rnacentral:rRNA from 1 species
GGGGAAUCUUCCGCAAUGGACGAAAGUCUGACGGAGCAACGCCGCGUGAGUGAUGACGGCCUUCGGGUUGUAAAGCUCUGUUAAUCGGGACGAAAGGCCUUCUUGCGAAUAGUUAGAAGGAUUGACGGUACCGGAAUAGAAAGCCACGGCUAACUACGUGCCAGCAGCCGCGGUAAUACGUAGGUGGCAAGCGUUGUCCGGAAUUAUUGGGCGUAAAGCGCGCGCAGGCGGAUUGGUCAGUCUGUCUUAAAAGUUCGGGGCUUAACCCCGUGAUGGGAUGGAAACUGCCAAUCUAGAGUAUCGGAGAGGAAAGUGGAAUUCCUAGUGUAGCGGUGAAAUGCGUAGAUAUUAGGAAGAACACCAGUGGCGAAGGCGACUUUCUGGACGAAAACUGACGCUGAGGCGCGAAAGCCAGGGGAGCGAACGGGAUUAGAUACCCCGGUAGUCCUGGCCGUAAACGAUGGGUACUAGGUGUAGGAGGUAUCGACCCCUUCUGUGCCGGAGUUAACGCAAUAAGUACCCCGCCUGGGGAGUACGGCCGCAAGGUUG